rfam:Heterocephalus glaber contig236189, whole genome shotgun sequence.
GUGAGGGCUGGGCAAAAGGAGGGAGAGGAGAGGAUGGGGAAACGCGCGCCCCAAGAGCGAAAGCAAACAUCUAGCUGUGGAGGCGCUGCCCGCAGGUCAGGCUUCCCAACAGGUUAGCUCGAAUGAGCCCCCCGGGAUAUUUCGCAGGAAGG